rnacentral:rRNA from 1 species
GACGAACGCUGGCGGCGUGCUUAACACAUGCAAGUCGAACGGUAAGGCCCCUUCGGGGGUACACGAGUGGCGAACGGGUGAGUAACACGUGAGCAACCUGCCCUUGACUCUGGAAUAACAGUUGGAAACAGCUGCUAAUACUGGAUAUUCAUCGUCUCCUUCCUGGGGGGUGGUGGAAAGCUCCGGCGGUCAGGGAUGGGCUCGCGGCCUAUCAGCUUGUUGGUGAGGUAAUGGCUCACCAAGGCUUCGACGGGUAGCCGGCCUGAGAGGGCGACCGGCCACACUGGGACUGAGAUACGGCCCAGACUCCUACGGGAGGCAGCAGUGGGGAAUAUUGCACAAUGGGCGCAAGCCUGAUGCAGCGACGCCGCGUGCGGGAUGACGGCCUUCGGGUUGUAAACCGCUUUCAGUAGGGACGAAGGGUGACUGACGGUACCUACAGAAGAAGGACCGGCUAACUACGUG